CCCGGUCCUCGGUAGUGACCAGCAGGACCCCGCCCCGCGCGGGCCGCCUGCGGUCUCGAUCGAAGACCGGC
rnacentral:ncRNA from 1 species